rnacentral:rRNA from 1 species
GAUGAACGCUGGCGGCGUGCCUAAUACAUGCAAGUCGAGCGAACAGAUAAGGAGCUUGCUCCUUUGGCGUUAGCGGCGGACGGGUGAGUAACACGUGGGUAACCUACCUAUAAGACUGGAAUAACUCCGGGAAACCGGGGCUAAUGCCGGAUAACAUUUAGAACCGCAUGGUUCUAAAGUGAAAGAUGGUUUUGCUAUCACUUAUAGAUGGACCCGCGCCGUAUUAGCUAGUUGGUAAGGUAACGGCUUACCAAGGCAACGAUACGUAGCCGACCUGAGAGGGUGAUCGGCCACACUGGAACUGAGACACGGUCCAGACUCCUACGGGAGGCAGCAGUAGGGAAUCUUCCGCAAUGGGCGAAAGCCUGACGGAGCAACGCCGCGUGAGUGAUGAAGGUCUUCGGAUCGUAAAACUCUGUUAUUAGGGAAGAACAAAUGUGUAAGUAACUGUGCACGUCUUGACGGUACCUAAUCAGAAAGCCACGGCUAACUACGUG